AUGGGUGUUUACUGUGUUGUUUGCUUCUUUUCAGUGUUGUUUCUUUGGGUUAGUUCCGUUAACGUCACGUUUGUGAGGAUCCGUUCGACUACGUCCGUUUGUCUUCUUCAUGGACUCGUUCUUCUUUCUUGCGGGAUCUCAGGCAAGAUGACCAUACCCUCGAAAUCACUUCUAUCUUUGCUUGCUAGUUGCUCGCUCUAUUGCUAUGCCGCGAUACCUACCACUUGCUAUAUCAUGCCUCCCAUAUUGCCAUGUCAAGCCUCUAACCCACCUUGUCCUAGCAAACCGUUGUUUGGCUAUGAUACCACUUUGCUCAGCCCCUCUUAUAGCGUUGCUAGUUGCAAGUGA
rnacentral:rRNA from 1 species